rnacentral:rRNA from 1 species
AACGAACGCUGGCGGCAGGCCUAACACAUGCAAGUCGAGCGAGGACUUCGGUCCUAGCGGCGGACGGGUGAGUAACGCGUGGGAACGUGCCCUUUGCUUCGGAAUAGCCCUGGGAAACUGGGAGUAAUACCGGAUGAGCCCUUUGGGGGAAAGAUUUAUCGGCGAAGGAUCGGCCCGGGUUGGAUUAGGUAGUUGGUGGGGUAAUGGCCUACCAAGCCGACGAUCCAUAGCUGGUUUGAGAGGAUGAUCAGCCACACUGGGACUGAGACACGGCCCAGACUCCUACGGGAGGAAGCAGUGGGGAAUCUUAGACAAUGGGGGAAACCCUGAUCUAGCCAUGCCGCGUGAGCGAUGAAGGCCUUAGGGUUGUAAAGCUCUUUCAGCUGGGAAGAUAAUGACGGUACCAGCAGAAGAAGCCCCGGCUAACUCCGUG